AGCUCAGGUGCCAAUCUUUAAGAAAAAAAAUGGCUAAAAAAAAAGAAAAGAUGUAGGCUGUGGAGUCCCAUGACUGGGGUCUCUAUCUUGGCCCCAACUCUCACUGGCUGGCAUAUCACUUCACCUUUCUCCAAGCUCUGUUUCCUCAUCUGUAGACUGGAAUGCUAGGCUGGACCUCAUGGAGUUGUCAUACUGUUUGGUAAAUCUUAGCUGCCUGUUAGUCACAUUAUUAUCCCUUUGUGGGAACAACAAAAGGAGAUGAUGGGAUAGUCCAGCAGAUAAGACAGAAUGCCCUUCCUGUUUUAUCCCAGCGGUCCCUGCCAGGCACCAGUACACCACAUGAAGCAUGAUGAAAUAUCCUCGGAUCAUGAUACAGAAACUCUUAAUAGAUUAUUUCAUUCCUGUUAACAAGGCUGAAGGCAGAGCUUCCGAGUCAGGGGGAGCCUAUUGGUAUGAACUCUGAGCUGCCAUGCUGGCCCCCUGCCAAUCCCUGUCAAGCUACCUAGAAUUCUAUUGCUACGUUUUGCUUGGUCUUGAAAUUUUCUCAGCCUCUCAGAGUGUAUUAUUAAGAUCUCAGGACCCCUGGGUAGCCCCCUAGCUCCUCAAACAGCCCUACCUAAGGCAGUGCUCCCCACCCCCAUAAGGGUUCCCAAUACGGUGGCCCUCGCUCUGGACUUGUCUUUACAAUAUCUGCUAUGCCUCAUAUUGUAGGGAACUGCUUGCUCUCUGCCAGUUAUUACCAUGGAGGUAUGAAAACUAAUAAUAAGUGUGGCGGACAGGUGUCAGUUUACUUUCGUAUUACCCAUCCUCUCUUCUCUUGGCGAGAACACUUAAUGUUUUCUUGGUUGAACCACUCCCUCCCACUCUUUGGGUGGGGCUAAGCCCUCUUCCCCACUCCAGCCAAUGGCACAUGACUGAGGCAUCUUCAGUCAGAGUCACAGUGAUUGGUUCAUGGACACCACGUGACUCAAUUUGAGCCAAUGAGAAGCAGUCCUGAGACUCCGGCUGGGAUAGUAGGCAACAGGCUCUUCUUCCUUUGGGAUUGGUAAGGGAGUAGGGAGCUGCUGGAGGCCGUCUUUCCCGCCUGAGAAUGAAGCCGACACAGAGGAAAGCAAAGAGUGGCUGUCUUCCUUGUUUUCUUUGAAAGAAGAUCAUUUUCUGAAGGCAGAGAGAUCAGCCUGUCGGUGGGUGGGACCCAUCGAAGAAUGCAAGGGUGAGAAACGAAAUCAGAUCUCGGAGGACUGGAAGACUCUCACGUGGACAUCAAUUACGAUCAUUAAUGGCUCACAAAUGAGUUCAGGCUCAUUUUUUGAUCCGUGGGAUUGUUUUAAAUUGAGCUCCAGAAACAGACCCUGGGAGCAGGAUUCAUGGCUGUAAGAAGAGCCAGCCAAAGUGCUCUGUCUACCAAGAGAACCUGAGCUCUAUAUAUAAGUGGAAGAGAAAAUAACGGAAGGCUGAUAGCUUCAUUUACAGUCUGAGAAGAUUCAGUUUCCUAUAAGUCAUAUUCUACAGCCAAUGGAACAAAUGUAACUUCCUAUUACAAGCGCCUAUUAGACCCUUAUAGAGGAUUAAACACAAUUUUAUUCUAAACUAUUGAAUAGUAAAGGGAAGUUUUAAGAAUGAUUAUAAGAAAUCAAAUAUAUAUAGAUUUAAAUUUGAAUAAGACCUGCACUCCUCCUCUCUAGUCACUUUGUUUACAAUACUCCUUAGAUGUAAUAUAUACAUACUGUAAUAUACUGAUAUAUAUAGAGAAUGUGUAAUACUCACUAGAAUGUAAAUAUUCUUUAAUCAUCUUUUCUUUAUCUUUGCUGAGCAAGAGAUGUUCAACAGAGUAUUUACAUUCUUCAAGAACUUGUAUCAACAAUUACUCAACCCUUGAUCUCAAAGACAAUUAUAGCUUAUAUUUCUAAAAUUAAGAUUAAAGAAAUAUGUCUAAAAUUUCUCAUUUCCAGAGUUAAACUCACAAAAUCCAUGCGUUGGCAAAAGAUGCCUUAGAAAUGACAAUGUGGCUGUAAAACAAAAGAAGAAAGACAGGGUUUUGUCAAUAGUCUUAACCACAGCCAGUGGAAAUCUGGCACAACAGCGAUUAGUCUCUCUCCGGUAACAUAACAGAGAUUUUCAAUCCAUCAGAACAGCUUGCUCCCUGAGCCUGGAGGAGGCCUCAGAAUUCUCUUUAAUGCAGCAUUCCAGGAAGCCACUAUUAAGCUGUUGGUGAUGGCAUCCUGUUUACCAUCUGUAUCAGAAUGUUUCUGUUGUAAAUAACAGGAGCCUCUGGCUAAUUUAUGCAAAAGGAGACUUAUGAAUGGUUACUAACAGCUCGUAAAACCACUGGGAGGGCUGCUGGUGCAGUGUAGCCUGAGCUUCUCCAAUGAGCUGGCCUGCUGAGGGAGCUGUUGCCAGCAGGACCCGAGAACCUCCCUAUGCCUCCGCCAUGAUCAGGAAGCUGCUGAGUCUAAACUGCCCUGCCCUUGCUGGCUCUAGAAGAAUGAAAGCCACUCAGCUUGUCAGAAGGUCCACCUUCCCUGCACAAGGCCAACAACUUGCUUUACCCACUCGCUCCUUCAAGACUCACAUCAGGGCACCUGCUUGGCAGACACUAAGUCACACGAACAGCUCUAGCUGUAGGAGAGUCUGCGGGCUGCUUAUAGCUUUCUGCCACUGCAGAGCAGGAAGGCACAGUGGAAGGGGGAAUGGGACUGAGCGAGCCAAUCUGUAGUUCUGCUUCACCAUCUCAGGAUGAAUCCUUGGCAUGAGAUAUAGGAAGAAAGCAUGGGAUACUUGGAAAGCACUGUAAGAUAUACAAAUUGGAAUUUGCCAGUGUUCAUCCAACGCUAUCCAGGAGAGAACGUACCUUGAUGAAACAGAUGUCCAGUGCUCUCUACAAUUAAACUCCAAAAGGAGGAGAGAGAAACUCCGGGACCAUUGUAACCUGAUGUAGGGUGAUCAACCAUCCCAGGUUCCCAGGAUGUGCAACUUUCAGUGCUAAAAUUGGGCAAGUUUCCAGCAAACCAGGAUGAAUUGGUUAUCAUCCCUCAAUGACACUAACCAUUGACAUCAGCCAACUAACUAACUCACUUCAUUCAGAUUCUACUCUCACCAAGCAAAUUUCUGAUUAUAAUUUGGCUUACUCGGCGUGUAGGGGAAAAUGCCCCCAAAACAUUUAGCACAAUGUCUGGUAUACAAUAAGCACUCAAUAAAUGCUUAUAUUUUUGUA